UUUGCUUCCUGGGCAGUUGGCUGACGAAGUAUUUGAUGAACUAGCUUCAGAUACAUGCCGCAAAAGGCUACUGAGCUGGCCUGAUGAUGAUCCUGCUGAGAUAUAUUUAUAGCAGAUGAUUUGUGGAUGAUAAAUAUGCCAAGCAAGACACAGUCUCCGGUAACUCCAGGCUCGUCUGACUUCCUCAGGGGGUCAUAAUCAAGAAUCACAAAAAGAACCAUGUAUGGACAAUCUGGUCUCUGGACCCUGACAGUAGCACAAUCCAAAGCGAGCCAAGGGGGAAUCACAGUGUUUCAUGUCUGCACUAUGUUUCGUGUGAAAGCAUUGCUGACAUAUUGACCCAACAACAAAAAAGAGCAGCAGUUUACAUGUCCUAGGUUCCGUGUCCCUUCCUUGCUAUUGAUAUUGGUCUGUUUUCAGGCUUUAAUAUAUUUUUAAAACACCAUUUCAAAUUAUAA